rnacentral:rRNA from 1 species
CUCCUUUGACGUUAGCGGCGGACGGGUGAGUAACACGUGGGUAACCUACCUAUAAGACUGGGAUAACUUCGGGAAACCGGAGCUAAUACCGGAUAAUAUUUCGAACCGCAUGGUUCGAUAGUGAAAGGUGGUUUUGCUAUCACUUAUAGAUGGACCCGCGCCGUAUUAGCUAGCUGGUAAGGUAACGGCUUACCAAGGCGACGAUACGUAGCCGACCUGAGAGGGUGAUCGGCCACACUGGAACUGAGACACGGUCCAGACUCCUACGGGAGGCAGCAGGG